UACGGAGGGUGCAAGCGUUAUCCGGAUUUACUGGGUUUAAAGGGUGCGCAGGUGGGCUGGUAAGUUUGAUGUGAAAGCCCCGGGCUUAACCCGGGAAUGGCAUUGAAUACUACUGGUCUGGAGGGUUGGAGGGGGGACUGGAAUUCUUGGUGUAGCAGUGAAAUGCGUAGAUAUCAAGAGGAACACCAGAAGCGAAGGCGGCCAACUGGCCCGAUACUGACGCUGAGGCGCGAAAGCGUGGGGAGCAAACAGG
rnacentral:rRNA from 1 species